rnacentral:rRNA from 1 species
GUGAAUUGAGCUGGCUUCGGCCGCUCUGAUCUAUACACACCUGUGAACUGUUGGCCUUCGGGUCUUUAAUUACAACUGUGACGAACGUAAAUUAUUAUAACAAAUAAAACUUUUAACAACGGAUCUCUUGGCUCUCGCAUCGAUGAAGAACGCAGCGAAAUGCGAUAAGUAAUGUGAAUUGCAGAAUUCAGUGAAUCAUCGAAUCUUUGAACGCACCUUGCGCCCGUUGGUAUUCCGACGGGCAUGCCUGUUUGAGUGUCGUGAACAACCUCAACCUUGAUUGGUUUUACUAAUCAAGGCUUGGACUUGGGUGUUGCUGCUGCAAAGUGGCUCGCCUUAAAACUAUUAGCUGGACUUGUCUAUGACUUGGUUCGACUCGAUGUAAUAAGUAUUCAUCGGGGACAGGGUAACACCUGGCCAAGGGCUUGAUGCCGUCUGGCUUCCUAAAAUCAUGGUUUCCUCACUAUGGAGAACGCCUACCUUUUACCUGGUGGUGGGCCCUCAAAAAUCAAGGGUAGGGAAUUUACCCCCGGCUUGAAACCUUUAAAGCCAUUAUUCAAAUUAAAGCCGGGAAGGGAAAAAAGAAAAACCUAAACCAAAGGGAAUUUCCCCCCCUAAGUUAAACCGGGCCG